AGCGGAUUGCGCGUGGGCGGCGGCCGGAGUGUGGCGUCGCGACCUCCGCUCCCGUCUCCGCCUCCCCCCUCCCUCCAUCGCGCCUGCUCCAUCUCGGGCCCGGCGCCCCCGGGCGGGAGGCGGCGUGGAUCGACGGCGGCGGCCGCCGCCGCGUCGCGACUCCGGCGGUUCGAGCCGACCCGGCCUCGAUCCGCGCCGGUGUCCGGCGGCCGCGCCCCUGUCUCCGGGGGGCACGUGUUCUGGCGGACGGAGAAGGAUGAGGACGAGAGGGGCCUCGAGGCAACGGAGGCUGCCGUGCGCGUGGUCGCCACGUCCGACUGCAUCGAGGAGGAUAACACGGCGGCCGCAUCCACGGCGGUGUCCCUGGCACGCGUGAUGCGCCGAGCCGCAGCUCGCGGAGCUGGUUCACCUCAUCGGCUUCGCCGACUUGAAGAGCGGGCUUGACAGGGGCACCAGGGCGGCGGGGCUGUCGUGCCUCGUGGCCGUCGCGGCGACGCGGCGGGGCCCCGACUCCGGCCUUCCCCAUCGAUCCAUGGAGAGGGUGCACAUCGGCGACCUCGUCUUCUACUUCCUGCAGGGACACCUCUAGCAGGUUCAAAAUUUAGAGUUCAAUAGAGAGAUUGACAUGAGCUCUAUGAGUUUAGCGGAACUGCAAUUGUUCAGUGCAAUUGAUUCAAUUUGUGGUGUAGAGACGUAGUUGUCUGAACUUGUGCAGAGAGCUUCCACAUCAUCUCACUCUAAUGAAUUAUCAUUUGAUGUGCUCAUGAAAACAUAUGACAUAGCCUUGAUGGAUCAAGAUUUUCUUUCACAAAUUCCCUGGCACUAUGCAAUUAUUGAUGAGGCCCAACGUCUAAAAAAUCCAUCCAGUGUACUGUAUAAUGUCCUUGAGCAACGCUUCAUCAUGCCAAGACGUCUACUACUAACAGGCACUCCUAUCCAGAACAACCUUUCUGAAUUAUGGGCGUUGAUGCACUUUUGUUUGCCUUCAAUAUUUGGAAAGCUAGAUGAGUUCCUUUCCACCUUCAAGGAAGCAGGGGACUCAUUAACAGCGUCCUUCAAAAGACAUUCAAAGUUGAGAUCAAUACUUACAGCCGGAGUGAGGUUGUUGCCAUGGAGUGGUUGGUUCAGGAGGCCCUGAACUUCAAGUGUUUCGUCACAACAACUCACCAUUUCCUCUGGUUCUAUCUGAAGGCUGCAAAGGCAGAUGACAGGGUAGUGGACCUGGCAAAAUACCUGUCCUUGCUCUCACUUCUCAAACAUAAGCAGCUCUCCUUCUGGCCCUAAAUUGUGGCAGCCGCUGUGGUAGCCCUUGCUUGCCUUGCCACAGACAAGGAGUCCUAAUGCCAUUUAGUCAUGGAGACUCACAUGAGGACGCAGGAUGACGAUCUGCCUAAAUGUAUAAUGAGCCUACAGUGGCUGAUCAACUACGCUUCGUGAUACUCGUGACUCCCAGGUGACGAAAUUGAUCCACAGUUUCCCGAUUCCAAGUUACACAGCACAGUUCAAGCGGUCAGACGGGCAUGAGGAUGUGUAGGCCAUACGUGAAUCUUAGCAUUAACAGAUUAUUCUGUACAUGCCAUAAGCCAAGGCAGCAUAAAACGAAGUCUGUGAUUAAACGACUUUCUGGCUAGGAGCAAGGCAAGGAUCGAGAGUUUGGUAUUGAGAUGUCGGCCUUUAGGAACUACUGAAUGACCUAUUGGGCUGUCUAUUAUCCUUGGGUAGGCUUGGUUGUCGCCACGUCGGGGAAAAAAUGGGGAAAGCAGACGGUGGUCGGUGGAUGGAUGACUGUGCUUCACUGCACUUGUGCCAUGCCACGACUUCUACUGUAGUUUACUGCAGUUGAUGCGUGUGCUGUGCACGUAGAUAGAUGUUAAGGCAUUCAGUAUUACUGAUGAUGUCUCUGUUGUUUCAUAUGUAGUAUUUGCUGAUAUCUUCCUAUAAGUUUCAUAUUUGGUGGUAA